rnacentral:rRNA from 1 species
UACGAAGGGGGGCUAGCGUUGCUCGGAUUGACUGGGCGUAAAGGGCGCGUAGGCGGUUCGUACAGUCAGACGUGAAAUUCCUGGGCUCAACCUGGGGGCUGCGUUUGAUACGUGCGGACUUGAGUGCGGAAGAGGGUCGUGGAAUUCCCAGUGUAGAGGUGAAAUUCGUAGAUAUUGGGAAGAACACCGGUGGCGAAGGCGGCGACCUGGUCCGAUACUGACGCUGAGGCGCGAAAAGCGUGGGGAGCGAACAGG